rnacentral:rRNA from 1 species
CCUACGGGAGGCAGCAGUGGGGAAUAUUGGGCAAUGGGCGCAAGCCUGACCCAGCAACGCCGCGUGAAGGAAGAAGGCUUUCGGGUUGUAAACUUCUUUUCUCAGGGACGAAGCAAGUGACGGUACCUGAGGAAUAAGCCACGGCUAACUACGUGCCAGCAGCCGCGGUAAUACGUAGGUGGCAAGCGUUAUCCGGAUUUACUGGGUGUAAAGGACGUGUAGGCGGGGACGCAAGUCAGAUGUGAAAACCACGGGCUCAACCUGUGGCCUGCAUUUGAAACUGUGUUUCUUGAGUACUGUAGAGGCAGACGGUAUUCCUAGUGUAGCGGUGAAAUGCGUAGAUAUUAGGAGGAACACCAGUGGCGAAGGCGGUCUGCUGGACAGCAACUGACGCUGAGGCGCGAAAGCGUGGGGAGCAAACAGGAUUAGAUACCCGAGUAGUC